rnacentral:rRNA from 1 species
AGCGAACGCUGGCGGCAGGCCUAACACAUGCAAGUCGAACGAAGUCUUCGGACUUAGUGGCGGACGGGUGAGUAACACGUGGGAACGUGCCUUUAGGUUCGGAAUAACUCAGGGAAACUUGUGCUAAUACCGAAUGUGCCCUUCGGGGGAAAGAUUUAUCGCCUCUAGAGCGGCCCGCGUCUGAUUAGCUAGUUGGUGAGGUAAAGGCUCACCAAGGCUACGAUCAGUAGCUGGUCUGAGAGGAUGACCAGCCACAUUGGGACUGAGACACGGCCCAAACUCCUACGGGAGGCAGCAGUGGGGAAUCUUGCGCAAUGGGCGAAAGCCUGACGCAGCAUGCCGCGUGGAUGAUGAAGGUCUUAGGAUUGUAAAAUCCUUUCACCGGUGAAGAUAAUGACUGUAGCCGGAGAAGAAGCCCCGGCUAACUUCGUGCCAGCAGCCGCAGUAACAC